ensembl:rRNA 5S_rRNA 5S ribosomal RNA
GCCUACGGCCAUACCACCCUGAACGCGCCCGAUCUCGUCUGAUCUCGGAAGCUAAGCAGGGUCGGGCCUGGUUAGUAUUUGGAUGGGAGACAAGAAGGGCAGGAGCCCAGGGAG